AUGUGGGAGGGAAUAUGACGCGGCCAAAUUGACAUUCCCAAUUGCCUAUAGAGAGGAUGGACCAAGGCAGGGACGACUGAGGGAGGCGAGCUAAAAUUUUUACUCUAUACGCAAAUUUACAUGUUAUUCUUUAAUUUUUGAUGCUAUUUUAUUCACCCCUUGAUUCUGAAAAUAUAUGUUUAUAUUCGUGUUCCAAGGAUCUCGUCCCAUUAAUCCAAAUCCUGCAUCAGUCCUUGCAUAUAGGCAGAGAAAUUCUUGGAGGGAGGGUCCGAUCUCUCCGGGCGGUGUGAGAAAUUAUCGGCGCGAUACAGCAAAUGAGGAAACAUGCAUGAGUCCAAUUUUUGCAGGUGCUCACUGUCUGUCUCUCUCUGUCUUCCAAGGUUCAAGCAAGAAGAGGCGCUUUGCUUGCAGAUUCUCAGUCACCUUACACCAAGAAUGGGGCAAAGUUUCCAUGCAGCCAUGGGAAGCAGGAAGGAGCUUCGGGAAUGGCUUGGCGGUAAGCCUCCGGGCGGAGUCGCACCGUCUUCGUCAUCAAUGAUGCACAGUCCGAUAUCAUCAUCGGCAUCGUUAACAACGGCUGUGGACCAUGUUACUGGAACCUAAUCGACAUCUUAUUUCAUCGAGUUGUGCCUUGGGGACAGGGUAUUACCCUCCCGGUCGAGGCUCAACGAGCUCCAGCAGGGCAGCAGGAGGAUGCGUCGGUUCAUAUAUGUGUUCAGAGAUCAAAAUGGCCACCGAUCACAUUUCCAUAUAACCGCUUACAAGGAUAUUGGGCUGUGCGAAUUAAUAACAAUGCGAUACCCCAUUUCUAUAAAUUUACAAUUACUCGAAGAUUGGCGGGAAUGCCGAAUGCUAUAUGGAUUUACUGAGUUUCUUUUAAGAGCCAUCAAGAUCCUCAUUCAAUUGGUAAUUAUAAUUUUCUUGAUCUAAUCCUUUCUUUCACGUUACCUUUAUUGACAAGACACGGCUUGUGUACUAUACUGUGCCCAUUAACAUGUGAGAGUGAAAUUAUUUCUAAACUUAUGUCUCUUUUUUUAAUAGCUAUUAUAUUAUAUACUAUAUAUAUAAUAGUUGAAUUGAUAAUCGAAUAUGGCUGAUUUCGUCGUA